rnacentral:rRNA from 1 species
GGCUCACCAAGCCGACGACGGGUAGGGGGCGUGAGAGCGUGGCCCCCCACACGGGAACUGAGACACGGUCCCGACGCCUACGGGCGGCAGCAGUGAGGAAUCUUGCCCAAUGGGGGAAACCCUGAGGCAGCGACACCGCGUGCGGGAUGAAGGCCUUCGGGUCGUAAACCGCUUUUCUGGGGGACGAGUAAGGACGGUACUCCAGGAAUAAGUCCCGGCUAACUACGUGCCAGCAGCCGCGGUAAAACGUAGGGGGCGAGCGUUAUCCGGAAUCACUGGGCGUAAAGGGCGUCUAGGCGGCAGCCUAAGUCCCGUGUGAAAGCUCCCGGCUCAACUGGGAGAGGGCAUGGGAGACUGGGCAGCUAGAGACUCGGAGGGGGGUGUGGAAUUCCCGGUGGAGUGGUGGAAUGCGUUGAGAUCGGGAGGAACACCAGUAGCGAAGGCGGCACCCUGGCCGAGAUCUGACGCUGAAGCGCGAGAGCGUGGGGAGCGAACGGGAUUAGAUACCCCGGUAGUCCACGCCGUAAACGAUGACAACUAGGUGUUGGGUGUCCAAGGAUGCUCAGUACCGCAGCAAACGCGAUA